rnacentral:rRNA from 1 species
GGUGAACGCUGGCGGCGUGCUUGACACAUGCAAGUCGAACGGUAUGUGGCAACACAUAGAGUGGCGAACGGGUGAGUAACACGUGGGAACGUACCUUCUGCAGGGGGAUAACUGACCGAAAGGACAGCUAAUACCGCAUAAGACCGAGAGGAGAAAGGUGCAACAGCAUCGGCAGAGGAGCGGCCCGCGGACCAUCAGCUAGUUGGUGGGGUAAGAGCCUACCAAGGCAACGACGGAUAGCCGGCGUGAGAGCGUGGCCGGCCACAAGGACACUGAGAUACGGGUCCUACUCCUACGGGAGGCAGCAGUGCGGAAUUUUAGAUAAUGGAGGCAACUCUGAUCUAGCGACGCCGCGUGCAGGAAGAAGGUCUUCGGAUUGUAAACUGCUGUGGUAAGGGAAAAAUGCCAUGUAGAGUGGAAAGCUACAUGGAGGGAUGGUACUUUACUAGAAAGCCCCGGCUAACUACGUGCCAGCAGCCGCGGUAAUACGUAGGGGGCGAGCGUUACCCGGAAUCACUGGGCGUAAAGGGAGCGUAGGUGGCCUGACAUGUCGACUGUGAAAACCCGGAGCUCAACUCCGGACUUGCAGUUGAAACUGCCAGGCUUGAGGACGGUAGAGGAAGACGGAACUGCCAGUGUAGGGGUAAAAUCCUUAGAUAUUGGCAGGAACGCCGGUGACGAAGGUGGUUUUCUGGGCCGGUUCUGACACUGAUGCUCGAAAGCCAGGGGAGCGAACGGGAUUAGAUACCCCGGUAGUCCUGGCCCUAAACGAUGUUCACUAGGUGUGGGGAGCGGAAAGCUUUCCGUGCUAAAGCUAACGCGAUAAGUGAACCGCCUGGGGAGUACGCCCGCAAGGGUGAAACUCAAAGGAAUUGACGGGGGCCCGCACAAGCGGUGGAG